rnacentral:rRNA from 1 species
UACGUAGGGUGCAAGCGUUGUCCGGAAUUAUUGGGCGUAAAGGGCUCGUAGGCGGUCCAUCGCGUCGGGAGUGAAAAGCUGGGGCUUAACCCCAGUCCUGCUUCCGAUACGGGUGGACUAGAGGUAGGUAGGGGAGAACGGAAUUCCUGGUGUAGCGGUGAAAUGCGUAGAUAUCAGGAGGAACACCUGUGGUGUAGACAGCUUACUGGACCAUUUCUGACGCUGAGACACGAAAGCGUGGGUAGCAAACAGG